UACGGAGGGGGUUAGCGUUGUUCGGAAUGACUGGGCGUAAAGCGCGCGUAGGCGGAUCAUCAAGUCGGGGGUGAAAUCCCGGGGCUCAACCCCGGAAUGGCCUUCGAGACUGGUGGUCUUGAGUUCGAGAGAGGUGAGUGGAAUUCCGAGUGUAGAGGUGAAAUUCGUAGAUAUUCGGAGGAACACCAGUGGCGAAGGCGGCUCACUGGCUCGACACUGACGCUGAGGUGCGAAAGCGUGGGGGCGAACAGG
rnacentral:rRNA from 1 species